GGAGGAGCUGGGGUCCCAGAAAGGGCAGUUCAAAGUGGAAAGCUCAUUUAGCCACUCCAAAACACAGUCUGGAGAAGUCUGUAUAUCUUUCUCCCUUGACUAUGGAUAUUGCACAGGAGGAGGAAGCCAGUCUGCACCAUUUGCAUCUUCUGUUGUAACAUGGGGGAAAAACAUUUACCUGAGGUCUUCCUGUCCCAGUCCCUGAACCUCUCAUUUUGGAGGAGUACUGAAACCUGUUCAAGAUUUAUUUUGAUGAAAAAAACAAAGACUUCAGCCUGAGACCUAGAAAUUUCUUCAUGGACUAAGGUAUCCUGUCACAUAUACCAAGCUGGGAAAAUAGCUGCUCUACUUUACCAGAAUAACUUCCCCCUCACAUACCUCACACACAGUCUGGAUUUUCUAGUGUAAAUGGAGAUUGCAAGUCACCUUCAUUUAGCAAGCAAGCAUCUACUUUCUUAUCUGACCUCUUGGGAUGGCAGCAGGUUCUUGGGCUCUUGUCCUCAUGCAGCUGCAUAGAAAUAAAUACCUGUUGCCUCUGGAUAUUUACACCCUCUACAUUCCUGUAGAGAAGCCGGUCCUAAUUUCAGCAGUUCAAUUGGAGUGAAGCCGAUGCCUCUAACUAUCCCUUGCAUCUGUUGAAAAGUACUGCAAGCAAACACAUCUGGGAUAUAACCAUCAUCACACAAAUGUUGUCACCUGUCUGUAGCAAAAAGAAAGAGGCCAAAGCUUUCCACAGGCUAUCCCUGAAGUACUGCUGUACUGUGGCCACCCACAAAUGGUGAGAGGGAAAAUUCCUGCUUGAUUUGAGAGGUGGAAGGACAAGAGCAAGGUGAAGCCCAUCUCUUUCUAGCUCUGCUCUUUACUCUCUUUCAUUUUUCUCCUCUCUUCUGAAUGACACAGAGUCACCUACUUCCCCAUGCAAGGGGGGAUUGCUCACAUUUCUGCAAUCAUUCCCAGCAGUGCCAUUUACUUGAUGCAUACAUAUACAAUAUAGCUGUAAGGUUUGCAGCUUUGCUUGGCUUGCAGUCUUACUUCAACAGCAAAGAGAAAAACCUGCCACAGAUCCUAUAAUGCUGAAAUCUGCUCCUUGUUUUUUUUUUUUAUUUUUUAUAAACAAUCAUCUCAUUAUUGCAUUCUCUCACACAUGAAUGUCUGAAGCACUUAAUAAUAUGGAAUUAUCAUCAAUAUAUCUGUCCCAGGUGAAAAAAGCCUACAGCAAGUUUAUGAUGCAGUUCAAUCUAGUCAUUGAUUUCUGGACCUACUGUAGCCCUUCAGGGCAAAUCACAAAGCCAAGUUAUCUUGGAGAGAUGGCUUUUGUAUCUGGAUUUCUGAAUGAGGUGGAAAAAGUGCUUUAAGUCCUUCAUAUGAUCUGACUCAAAAAUCUGCCUUUUUCCAUUGAGGGUAAUAGUGUAUGUCACUUACAAACAGAUGAUUCUGAUACGCUGGGAACUUGGGUAUUUGAAGACCACAUAAAUAGACUAGUUAUCAGAAAUGGUCUUUGAUACAUGAAGUUGAUGAAAUAGAAUAUAAUGAAUUAGGAUGUGCUCUACCCUAUUCUCAGCUUGCCAGAAGAUGUUUCUUUGGGGUUA